rnacentral:rRNA from 1 species
AUCAACGCUGGCGGCGUGCCUAACACAUGCAAGUCGAACGCGAAAGCCCCGCAAGGGGUAAGUAGAGUGGCAAACGGGUGAGUAACACGUGGGUGACCUGCCUUCGAGUGGGGGAUAACGUCCCGAAAGGGACGCUAAUACCGCAUGACAUCCUGCUUUUGAAAAAGCGGAGAUCAAAGCUGGGGAUCGCAAGACCUAGCGCUUGAAGAGGGGCCCGCGCCUGAUUAGCUAGUUGGUGAGGUAACGGCUCACCAAGGCGACGAUCAGUAUCCGGCCUGAGAGGGCGGACGGACACACUGGGACUGAGACACGGCCCAGACUCCUACGGGAGGCAGCAGUGGGGAAUUGUUCGCAAUGGGCGCAAGCCUGACGACGCAACGCCGCGUGGAGGACGAAGAGCUUCGGGUCGUAAACUCCGGUCGAGCGGGACGAACGCUUCGCGGAUGAAUAAUCCGCGGAAUUGACGGUACCGCUAAAGGAAGCCCCGGCUAACUCCGUG